rnacentral:rRNA from 1 species
GAUGAACGCUGGCGGCGUGCCUAAUACAUGCAAGUCGAGCGAACGGACGAGAAGCUUGCUUCUCUGAUGUUAGCGGCGGACGGGUGAGUAACACGUGGAUAACCUACCUAUAAGACUGGGAUAACUUCGGGAAACCGGAGCUAAUACCGGAUAAUAUUUUGAACCGCAUGGUUCAAAAGUGAAAGACGGUCUUGCUGUCACUUAUAGAUGGAUCCGCGCUGCAUUAGCUAGUUGGUAAGGUAACGGCUUACCAAGGCAACGAUGCAUAGCCGACCUGAGAGGGUGAUCGGCCACACUGGAACUGAGACACGGUCCAGACUCCUACGGGAGGCAGCAGUAGGGAAUCUUCCGCAAUGGGCGAAAGCCUGACGGAGCAACGCCGCGUGAGUGAUGAAGGUCUUCGGAUCGUAAAACUCUGUUAUUAGGGAAGAACAUAUGUGUAAGUAACUGUGCACAUCUUGACGGUACCUAAUCAGAAAGCCACGGCUAACUACGUGCCAGCAGCCGCGGUAAUACGUAGGUGGCAAGCGUUAUCCGGAAUUAUUGGGCGUAAAGCGCGCGUAGGCGGUUUUUUAAGUCUGAUGUGAAAGCCCACGGCUCAACCGUGGAGGGUCAUUGGAAACUGGAAAACUUGAGUGUAGAAGAGGAAAGUGGAAUUCCAUGUGUAGCGGUGAAAUGCGCAGAGAUAUGGAGGAACACCAGUGGCGAAGGCGACUUUCUGGUCUGUAACUGACGCUGAUGUGCGAAAGCGUGGGGAUCAAACAGGACUAGAUACCCUGGUAGUCCACGCCGUAAACGAUGAGUGCUAAGUGUUAGGGGGUUUCCGCCCCUUAGUGCUGCAGCUAACGCAUUAAGCACUCCGCCUGGGGAGUACGACCGCAAGGUUGAAACUCAAAGGAAUUGACGGGGACCCGCACAAGCGGUGGAGCAUGUGGUUUAAUUCGAAGCAACGCGAAGAACCUUACCAAAUCUUGACAUCCUUUGACAACUCUAGAGAUAGAGCCUUCCCCUUCGGGGGACAAAGUGACAGGUGGUGCAUGGUUGUCGUCAGCUCGUGUCGUGAGAUGUUGGGUUAAGUCCCGCAACGAGCGCAACCCUUAAGCUUAGUUGCCAUCAUUAAGUUGGGCACUCUAAGUUGACUGCCGGUGACAAACCGGAGGAAGGUGGGGAUGACGUCAAAUCAUCAUGCCCCUUAUGAUUUGGGCUACACACGUGCUACAAUGGACAAUACAAAGGGCAGCGAAACCGCGAGGUCAAGCAAAUCCCAUAAAGUUGUUCUCAGUUCGGAUUGUAGUCUGCAACUCGACUACAUGAAGCUGGAAUCGCUAGUAAUCGUAGAUCAGCAUGCUACGGUGAAUACGUUCCCGGGUCU